rnacentral:misc_RNA from 1 species
UACGGAGGGAGCUAGCGUUGUCCGGAAUCACUGGGUGUAAAGGGUGCGCAGGCGGGGCAGCAAGUCAGUGGUGAAAGCCCGUGGCUUAACCACGGACGUGCCAUUGAAACUGCUGCUCUUGAGUCCCGGAGAGGCUGCCGGAAUUCGUGGUGUAGCGGUGAAAUGCGUAGAUAUCACGAGGAACACCAGAGGCGAAAGCGGGCAGCUGGACGGGUACUGACGCUCAGGCACGAAAGCGUGGGGAGCAAACAGG